GGAUAUAGCUCAGUUGGUAGAGUGCUUGCCUUGCAUGCACAAGGCUCUGGGUUCAAUCCCCAGAACCA
rnacentral:tRNA from 1 species